rnacentral:rRNA from 1 species
UACAGAGGUCUCAAGCGUUGUUCGGAUUCAUUGGGCGUAAAGCGCACGUAGGCGGUCCAGCAAGUCGGGUGUGAAAGCCCUCGGCUUAACCAAGGAAGUGCAUCCGAAACUGCUGAGCUUGAGUACUUAAGAGGAUCGCGGAAUUCCCGGUGUAGAGGUGAAAUUCGUAGAUAUCGGGAGGAACACCAGUGGCGAAGGCGGCGAUCUGGGAAGAUACUGACGCUGAGGCGCGAAAGCGUGGGGAGCAAACAGG